UACGUAGGGGGCUAGCGUUGUCCGGAAUCAUUGGGCGUAAAGAGCGUGUAGGCGGUCCGGUAAGUCCGCUGUGAAAGUCGGGGGCUCAACCCUCGAAUGCCGGUGGAUACUGUCGGGCUAGAGUGCGGAAGAGGCGAGUGGAAUUCCUGGUGUAGCGGUGAAAUGCGUAGAUAUCUGGAGGAACACCGGUGGCGAAGGCGGCGUCCUGGACCAACACUGACACUGAUGAGCGAAAGCCAGGGGAGCAAACGGG
rnacentral:rRNA from 1 species